UAGAUGACAAAUGUGUUAAGUCCGCCAACCC
rnacentral:piRNA from 1 species